rnacentral:tRNA from 1 species
UGGGACGUAGCACAGUGGCAGAGCACUUGCCUAGCAUGCCUAUAGCCCUGGGUUCAAUCCCCAGUGCCACAA